AGAAGGAGUCAAUGCAGAGAUGAGCACUCCUGCUGCAGCAAAGAGGGUUGGCCCCCGCGCGGAGGAGGGGCGGGCCCAGCUUGGCCCUGUUCUGGAGCAGGUCCAAAUCAGCUCGGGUCGGUCUGACUCGGCGCGACCAAGAGUGGUGCUGAAAAAAAACGUCAUUAGUCAUGUUUGCCAACUUCAUGUCGUACUCUCUGGCAAACAAACAGGUGCAUGAAAGUUCAUAUUAAGUUACAUAUUGUAUCUUUAAACCAGGCACAAAUAAUAAAUGUAUGCCUCCACUGAA